GGCCGCGGGAAUUCGAUUCAGGCCUAACACAUGCAAGUCGAGCGGUAGAGAGAAGCUUGCUUCUCUUGAGAGCGGCGGACGGGUGAGUAAUGCCUAGGAAUCUGCCUGGUAGUGGGGGAUAACGUUCGGAAACGGACGCUAAUACCGCAUACGUCCUACGGGAGAAAGCAGGGGACCUUCGGGCCUUGCGCUAUCAGAUGAGCCUAGGUCGGAUUAGCUAGUUGGUGAGGUAAUGGCUCACCAAGGCUACGAUCCGUAACUGGUCUGAGAGGAUGAUCAGUCACACUGGAACUGAGACACGGUCCAGACUCCUACGGGAGGCAGCAGUGGGGAAUAUUGGACAAUGGGCGAAAGCCUGAUCCAGCCAUGCCGCGUGUGUGAAGAAGGUCUUCGGAUGUAAAGCACAUUGAGUUGGGAGGAAGGGCAUUAACCUAAUACGUUAGGUUUGACG
rnacentral:rRNA from 1 species